UAAAACAUUUGCAUUACUGCUAUAAAACCUGGAUCUGCAAACUGUGGCCCACAGGCCAAAUGUGGCCUCAGUGAAGUUUGUCUUUGUAAAGCCUGUGAGCUAGGAACAGUUUUUACAUUUUUAAGGAGGUGUAAAAACAAAACCCCCCAAAAACCCAGAAGAUGAACAUUUGAGAGACAGAGAGAAAGACAGAGAGAGAGAGAGAGAGAGAGAGAGAGAGAAAGAGAGAUCAUAUGUGAUCUGCAAAGCCUAAAAAAUAGUUGCUGUCUGGCCCUUUACAGAGAAAGUGUUAUGGAACAUGGAACAUGGUUAUGGAACAUGGCUGUGGCACUAUUUGAGGCUGGAGUGCAGUGAUGUGAUCGUGGCUUACUGCAGCCUUGACUUCCUGGGCUCAAGUGAUCCUCCAUCCUCAGCCUCCCAAGUGUCUAGGACUACAGGUCUCACUCUGUCACUCAGGCACAAUCAUAGCUCACUGCAGCCUCAACUUCCUGGGCUCAGGUGAUCCUCCUGCCUCAACCUCCCAAGUAGCUGGGCCACAGAUGUGCGCCACCAUGCCCAGCUAAAUUUUGUAUGAUUUAUAGAGACAGGAUCUCGAUAUGUUGCCCAGGCUGAUCUUGAACUUCUGGAUUCAACUGAUCAUCUCAUCGUGGCAUCCCAAAGUGCUGGGAUUAUAAGUG
rnacentral:lncRNA from 1 species